GAGGGGUAGAGUUCUUCGGAACUUGAGACCGGCGCACGGGUGCGUAACGCGUAUGCAAUCUACCUUAUACAGGGGAAUAGCCCAGAGAAAUUUGGAUUAAUGCCCCAUAGUGUUAUCGAAUCGCAUGGUUUGAUAACUAAAGUUCCAACGGUAUAAGAUGAGCAUGCGUCCCAUUAGUUAGUUGGUAAGGUAACGGCUUACCAAGACAAUGAUGGGUAGGGGUCCUGAGAGGGAGAUCCCCCACACUGGUACUGAGACACGGACCAGACUCCUACGGGAGGCAGCAGUGAGGAAUAUUGGUCAAUGGGCGCAAGCCUGAACCAGCCAUGCCGCGUGCAGGAAGACGGUCCUAUGGAUUGUAAACUGCUUUUAUACAGGAAGAAACACCUCCACGUGUGGAGGCUUGACGGUACUGUAGGAAUAAGGAUCGGCUAACUCCGUGCCAGCAGCCGCGGUAAUACGGAGGAUCCAAGCGUUAUCCGGAAUCAUUGGGUUUAAAGGGUCCGUAGGCGGUCUUAUAAGUCAGUGGUGAAAGCCCAUCGCUCAACGAUGGAACUGCCAUUGAUACUGUAAGACUUGAAUACUUGUGAAGUAACUAGAAUAUGUAGUGUAGCGGUGAAAUGCUUAGAUAUUACAUGGAAUACCAAUUGCGAAGGCAGGUUACUAACAAGUUAUUGACGCUGAUGGACGAAAGCGUGGGGAGCGAGCAGGAUUAGAUACCCUGGUAGUCCACGCCGUAAACGAUGGAUACUAGCUGUUCGGAGCAAUCUGAGUGGCUAAGCGAAAGUGAUAAGUAUCCCACCUGGGGAGUACGCACGCAAGUGUG
rnacentral:rRNA from 1 species